rnacentral:rRNA from 1 species
UACGAAGGGGGCUAGCGUUGCUCGGAAUCACUGGGCGUAAAGCGCACGUAGGCGGAUCUUUAAGUCAGGGGUGAAAUCCUGGAGCUCAACUCCAGAACUGCCUUUGAUACUGAGGAUCUCGAGUCCGGGAGAGGUGAGUGGAACUGCGAGUGUAGAGGUGAAAUUCGUAGAUAUUCGCAAGAACACCAGUGGCGAAGGCGGCUCACUGGCCCGGUACGUGACGCUGAGGUGCG